GCUCAACCGGGGAGGGUCAUUGGAAACUGGGGAACUUGAGUGCAGAAGAGGAGAGUGGAAUUCCACGUGUAGCGGUGAAAUGCGUAGAGAUGUGGAGGAACACCAGUGGCGAAGGCGACUCUCUGGUCUGUAACUGACGCUGAGGCGCGAAAGCGUGGGGAGCGAACAGGAUUAGAUACCCUGGUAGUCCACGCCGUAAACGAUGAGUGCUAAGUGUUAGAGGGUUUCCGCCCUUUAGUGCUGCAGCAAACGCAUUAAGCACUCCGCCUGGGGAGUACGGUCGCAAGACUGAAACUCAAAGGAAUUGACGGGGGCCCGCACAAGCGGUGGAGCAUGUGGUUUAAUUCGAAGCAACGCGAAGAACCUUACCAGGUCUUGACAUCCUCUGACAACCCUAGAGAUAGGGCUUCCCCUUCGGGGGCAGAGUGACAGGUGGUGCAUGGUUGUCGUCAGCUCGUGUCGUGAGAUGUUGGGUUAAGUCCCGCAACGAGCGCAACCCUUGAUCUUAGUUGCCAGCAUUCAGUUGGGCACUCUAUGGUGUCUGCCGGUGACAAACCGGAGGAAGGUGGGGAUGACGUCAAAUCAUCAUGCCCCUUAUGACCUGGGCUACACACGUGCUACAAUGGGCAGAACAAAG
rnacentral:rRNA from 1 species